rnacentral:RNase_P_RNA from 1 species
AUAUUUGGGUAAUCGAGCAAUUAUUUUUAAAAUAAUUGUUAGGAAAGUCCUUGCUAGCACAGCUGAGAUGCUGUAGUGUUUGAGCCUAACGAAAGCAUAAGUUAGGGUACUAUUAAAAGUAGUAACGGCGAUUAAUUAACCUAAGUUUUUAAUAUGGUUAAAAUCAUAAAGUGCGACAGAGACGAAUUUGUUAGAAAUGACAAAGUGGAACGGGUAAACCCCUCAAGCUAGAAACCCAAAUUUGGUAGGGGAACUUUAAAUGAUAAUUCAAUUCAUUUAAGGCUAAUUAGAUUAGAGAUAAAUGAUUACCGCUCUGAAGGAGUACAGAACAAGGCUUAUAGAA